UACGGGGGGGGCAAGCGUUGUUCGGAAUUACUGGGCGUAAAGGGCUCGUAGGUGGCCAACUAAGUCAUACGUGAAAUCCCUCGGCUUAACCGAGGAACUGCGUCUGAUACUGGAUGGCUUGAGGUUGGGAGAGGGAUGCGGAAUUCCAGGUGUAGCGGUGAGAUGCGUAGAUAUCUGGAGGAACACCGGUGGCGAAGGCGGCAUCCUGGACCAAUUCUGACACUGAGGAGCGAAAGCCAGGGGAGCAAACGGG
rnacentral:rRNA from 1 species